AUAAUGGGUCAGCGACUUAUAUUCUGUAGCAAGGUUAACCGAAUAGGGGAGCCGGAGGGAAACCGAGUCUUAAUUGGGCGUUAAGUUGCAGGGUAUAGACCCGAAACCCGGUGAUCUAGCCAUGGGCAGGUUGAAGGUUGGGUAACACUAACUGGAGGACCGAACCGACUAAUGUUGAAAAAUUAGCGGAUGACCUGUGGCUGGGGGUGAAAGGCCAAUCAAACCGGGAGAUAGCUGGUUCUCCCCGAAAGCUAUUUAGGUAGCGCCUCGUGAAUUCAUCUCCGGGGGUAGAGCACUGUUUCGGCUAGGGGGCCAUCCCGGCUUACCAACCCGAUGCAAACUGCGAAUACCGGAGAAUGUUAUCACGGGAGACACACGGCGGGUGCUAACGUCCGUCGUGAAGAGGGAAACAACCCAGACCGCCAGCUAAGGUCCCAAAGUCAUGGUUAAGUGGGAAACGAUGUGGGAAGGCCCAGACAGCCAGGAUGUUGGCUUAGAAGCAGCCAUCAUUUAAAGAAAGCGUAAUAGCUCACUGGUCGAGUCGGCCUGCGCGGAAGAUGUAACGGGGCUAAACCAU
rnacentral:rRNA from 2 species